UGCUUGGUUGCUAUUUUUUACUUACUCACUUUCCAAUUAAAAAUAAGGGGAAAUGACAGCUUUACUUCAAUGUGUUUUCCUUUUUGUAAUAUUUGAAGGUGUCCAGUCAGAAAUCCAGCUCACAGCAUCAGGAGGAGACAUGAAAAGGCCCGGAGAGUCUCUCCGCCUCUCCUGCAGAGCCUCCGGGUUCACCUUCAGCAGCUAUUACAUGUCAUGGGUGAGACAAGCUCCUGGAAAGGGUCUGGAAUGGGUUGCCAGAAUAGGUACAGCUUCAUCUCCCAUUAACUACUUGGAUUCCAUCAAAGGAAGAUUCACCAUUUCAAGGGAUGAUUCAAACAGCCAGCUGUAUUUGCAAAUGAACAACCUUAAACCUGAGGACACAGCCGUGUAUUACUGUGCAAGAGACACAAUGAUUGACUUCCAUUUAGAUCUUAGACAAAAACCGUUCACUACAUUCCUUUAG